AAUCACAUGACUUGUCAUAAUACAAAUGCAAGGGAAGAAACACCAAGACUAAAACCCACUGGGGGAGAUUUAUCAAAACCUGUCCAGAGGAAAAGUUGCUGAGUUGCCCAUAGCAACCAAUCAGAUCGCUUCUUUCAUUUUUCAGAGGCAAAAAGUGGAGACUUAGCCUAACUCUAUAUUGUGCUGUUCUGUUCUACCUACUGGAAAAUUAUGACUAAGUUGAACACUGACUUUUAUCAAAGGAAAACUAUGCCUUGAGCAAUAAUGAAAAAACAUUUCAAUCUUUGGCUUCUCCGGCUGGACGAAUGAAGGACGCUGUAAUGUGAGGCUGCUGUAUAUUGCUUGAACAGUCUGAAGCCACAAGCUUUAAAAGGCAGCUUUAUCAAAGCGCUAGUAAAAAUGUGCUAGCUGCAGUCGGAAUAUGAGCUGGACUGACAGUCAGAUACAUCAUGGCAAAUGUAGGCUUCAUAAGGAGAGCCAUAAAGGGGAAGAGAGAAUCAAGAUGGCAGACAACACAUAAAUGGUGGUACAUUCAUCAUAGGCUGGUCCAGUACACACGUCACAUGUUCUAAAACAGGAAUCGCACUCUCUAUCUACAUCAUCAGCGUAGAAUCCAAGACCACAGUCAGUGACACAAACCCCAUCUGUGAAAAUAGAAAAGAUAAAAAAACAUAGAGUACCGCUAUACACAGGACUACCACAAAUGGCAGCAUUUAUGCAAUUUGUCUGUUUUUUGUUUUAGGGUUUAUUCACACAUACAGAAGCUGUAGAUUUUAUGAUGACUUCAAUCAGCAUACAUUAAAUGGAGCAUUUAUACAGCUGAAUGAUUGCUAUUAAUGGUUAUCAAACAAUAGAGAAAUGAUUGUUUGCUUGUUUAACGGAUGAUCAGUUGGUCUUUAGUGAUUAGCACCAUUUCCUUGAAGCUCUACCAAGAGCAACAUCUGCAAGGGCUUUUCAUAUUCUUCCCAUGUUUGCUCAAGUUAGUUCCAUGUACUCUUGGUUAAUCUCAUACUAUCAUACUGAUAGGUGAAUUACAGAUGUAGUGACCGCCAUCAGGUUCACAGUGGGGCUACAUCAUGACUGGACAUAGUCUUAACAGGCGAACUUGAGCAGCAGUGAAUAUACUGCAUCCUUGCUCACUGUACAUUCACCAUGAGUGGUACUCACCAUGUAUAGUAUUGUAAAGUGAGCAGCGAUACAUAUAGUACUUGGAUCUCAGCCCUGAAAGCAGUGGCUCAGUCACUGGGUUUGGUGAAUGUAAAGUGAGUAGUGAUGUAUGCAGUGUAUGUAUCAUUAUUUAGUACUGUAUAGGAGCAGGGAGGACGAUGAUAUACAGGAGUCCCUACUCCUUUAUGUACAUUCAGUAGCUAAAUAAACAGAGUAGAGCACUGCCAAUCAUAUUGGUGGAUGCUACAUCUGUAGCUUGCUAUAUAAAAUUGUCCCUAGUGUGCACUCACUCUCUAGGGAAUUUAUACAAUGAGACCCAUUGUGGACAGGACCUGAUAUGAAUGAUGAUAAUCUGUAUAGUUGUAUCGUGAUAAGGAAUAUGUAGGUGUUAAAGACGUAAUAGGAAAGUAAUAGAUAAUUAUACAGUGUUGAAUACAAUUUUAUGAAAACACAUUAGU